AUUGAACGCUGGCGGCAUGCCUUACACAUGCAAGUCGAACGGUAACAGGUCUUCGGAUGCUGACGAGUGGCGAACGGGUGAGUAAUACGUCGGAACGUGCCUAGUAGUGGGGGAUAACUACUCGAAAGAGUGGCUAAUACCGCAUGAGAUCUACGGAUGAAAGCAGGGGAUCGCAAGACCUUGUGCUACUAGAGCGGCCGAUGGCAGAUUAGGUAGUUGGUGGGAUAAAAGCUUACCAAGCCGACGAUCUGUAGCUGGUCUGAGAGGACGAUCAGCCCCACGGGGACUGAGACACGGCCCAGGCUCCUACGGGAGGCAGCAGUGGGGAAUUUUGGACAAUGGGCGAAAGCCUGAUCCAGCAAUGCCGCGUGCAGGAUGAAGGCCUUCGGGUUGUAAACUGCUUUUGUACGGAACGAAAAGCCCCGGGUUAAUACCCUGGGGUCAUGACGGUACCGUAAGAAUAAGCACCGGCUAACUACGUGCCAGCCGCCGCGGUAA
rnacentral:rRNA from 1 species